rnacentral:rRNA from 1 species
GAUGAACGCUGGCGGCGUGCCUAAUACAUGCAAGUCGAGCGAACGGACGAGAAGCUUGCUUCUCUGAUGUUAGCGGCGGACGGGUGAGUAACACGUGGAUAACCUACCUAUAAGACUGGGAUAACUUCGGGAAACCGGAGCUAAUACCGGAUAAUAUUUUGAACCGCAUGGUUCAAAAGUGAAAGACGGUCUUGCUGUCACUUAUAGAUGGAUCCGCGCUGCAUUAGCUAGUUGGUAAGGUAACGGCUUACCAAGGCAACGAUGCAUAGCCGACCUGAGAGGGUGAUCGGCCACACUGGAACUGAGACACGGUCCAGACUCCUACGGGAGGCAGCAGUAGGGAAUCUUCCGCAAUGGGCGAAAGCCUGACGGAGCAACGCCGCGUGAGUGAUGAAGGCCUUCGGAUCGUAAAACUCUGUUAUUAGGGAAGAACAUAUGUGUAAGUAACUGUGCACAUCUUGACGGUACCUAAUCAGAAAGCCACGGCUAACUACGUGCCAGCAGCCGCGGUAAUACGUAGGUGGCAAGCGUUAUCCGGAAUUAUUGGGCGUAAAGCGCGCGUAGGCGGUUUUUUAAGUCUGAUGUGAAAGCCCACGGCUCAACCGUGGAGGGUCAUUGGAAACUGGAAAACUUGAGUGCAGAAGAGGAAAGUGGAAUUCCAUGUGUAGCGGUGAAAUGCGCAGAGAUAUGGAGGAACACCAGUGGCGAAGGCGACUUUCUGGUCAGUAACUGACGCUGAUGUGCGAAAGCGUGGGGAUCAAACAGGAUUAGAUACCCUGGUAGUCCACGCCGUAAACGAUGAGUGCUAAGUGUUAGGGGGUUUCCGCCCCUUAGUGCUGCAGCUAACGCAUUAAGCACUCCGCCUGGGGAGUACGACCGCAAGGUUGAAACUCAAAGGAAUUGACGGGGACCCGCACAAGCGGUGGAGCAUGUGGUUUAAUUCGAAGCAACGCGAAGAACCUUACCAAAUCUUGACAUCCUUUGACAACUCUAGAGAUAGAGCCUUCCCCUUCGGGGGACAAAGUGACAGGUGGUGCAUGGUUGUCGUCAGCUCGUGUCGUGAGAUGUUGGGUUAAGUCCCGCAACGAGCGCAACCCUUAAGCUUAGUUGCCAUCAUUAAGUUGGGCACUCUAAGUUGACUGCCGGUGACAAACCGGAGGAAGGUGGGGAUGACGUCAAAUCAUCAUGCCCCUUAUGAUUUGGGCUACACACGUGCUACAAUGGACAAUACAAAGGGCAGCGAAACCGCGAGGUCAAGCAAAUCCCAUAAAGUUGUUCUCAGUUCGGAUUGUAGUCUGCAACUCGACUACAUGAAGCUGGAAUCGCUAGUAAUCGUAGAUCAGCAUGCUACGGUGAAUACGUUCCCGGGUCU